AAAAAAAAAAUCUGCCUCUUGGCAUAACAAAAUUCGGUAGGAAGGGGGUUGCCAACAACCAGUAGCUACGUGGGGUUUUCUCAUUAUGUUUGCAAAUAUGAUAACUAAGGCUAAUAUAUUGCAAAGAAAUAUGUGAGAAAAAAGGAAACUCUAUAAGUUUAACGAUCAACGUUCAUUAAUUUGUAUCGCGUAACAUGGCAAUCUGGACAAUCACUAAUUGAAGCUUUCUCAGUGUAACAAAGCCAACAGGGAGAAGUUUCUGUUACUGGCUUUGUGUAUGUGGAUUUUCAAUUUUGACUAGAAAAGGAGAGCAAACGAAUUUGUAUAUUUAUAAAAGCGUUUCGAAGAUGAUACGAGGGCGAUUUAACAAUUUUUAAAGAGUCAGAGUGUUAUGCAAAUUAGUAUAUAGCAAUUUCAUAUUGUGAAUAACUUGUGUCUGAGACUACUUUAUAACACACUAACAAUUUAAUUCGGAUUAACUAAUUCGGGUCGAUCCUAGUUUGAAACAGCAAAGUGUGAACGGGGUAUACUAUAACACAUGCACGAAUCUAUUAUGAGUAGUCUUAGACACUUUAUUCACAAUACAAAAUUUUAUACAUGUGACUCGCCAUGACAUUUCUAGGCUUAAGGAUGUAUAACGUCAUUGUAAGAAAAACACACUUAAUUAUGAACGUUACGUCUUUGUAAACAUACAGCUCAAUUGGAAGUACGGAUAACCUUUGUUAGUCUUGUAUAUUUUUUUUUUUAUUUUGGUUUAUUAAUAUGUUUCGGAGUUUA